GAGAAAUUCAACAAGUUUCUUUAAAUGGCAAACAAAACAACCUAAUGAUUCUUGCAAUAUCAUGAUCAAAUGCUAUUAUUAAUUCCACAAUCCUGCAAGGAAAAAAAAAAAACAUUAAAUCGCUUUGAGUCUCAAAUUAAACUUAAACAUCAAAAUGGUUUCCACUAGCAAGCCAAGUUGAUUGAAAGUAAUGAUCUGUAAAAGCAAAACUUAUUCAACUCU
rnacentral:misc_RNA from 1 species